rnacentral:misc_RNA from 1 species
CGCAAAGAUCCAAAGCACUUCCUUCCAAAUCCACGAGAUUUCACAAUGCCGUACUACACCAGGGACGAUGAAGCCGUCGACGACUUCGACGAGUACGAUCCGACGCCUUACGGCGGCGGCUUCGACCUCUUUCUGACAUAUGGCCGUCCAAUUCCACCCUCCGAAGAAACCUGCUACCCACACUCCGCUGGCAACGACGACGACAUCGAUUACGAGCGUCCCCAGUUCGAAUCCUACGCCGAGCCCUCCGCUUACGGCGAUGACGCCCUCCAGGCCGAGUACAGCAGCUACUCCCGCCCAAAGCCUCACUCCUAUGGCGCUCCGCCUCCCUCUGUGGAACAAGAGUACGGAUCUGGUGGCUAUGAAUCUGCCAGGCCCCAGCCGGCUUAUGGCUUCCAGCCAAGUGGAUCGGAGUACGGAUCUGAAGGAUAUCGCCGCAAACCGGAAUACGAGGAACAGGAGUACGGAUCCGGUGGGUAUAGGAGGAAACAGGAAUCUGAGUCUUAUGGAUCUGAAGAGUACGGAUCUGGUGGGUAUGGGCAGAGACAGGAAUCGGAUUCUUACGGAUCUGGAGUGUAUGGACGAAGACAGGAAUCGGAUUCUUAUGGAUCUGGUGGGUACGGGCGGAGACAAGAAGAGGGGGACUCAGAGGGGUACCGGCGCCAAUCGGAGUCUGAAGAGUACGGAUCAGGGCGGAAACAGAGGUAUGGGGAAGAAGAGUAUGAGAGUUCUGGGUAUAGAAGGGAGGAAUAUGAGAGGCCGAGUUAUGGGGACGAGGAGCCGAGGAGGCCGAGCUAUGGGCGGUCGGAGGAAGAGGAUUACCGGAAGCCGAGCUAUGAGAGGCGCGAUGAAGAUGAGGAGCGUCGGUAUGGGUAUGGGGAAGAAGGAUAUGGGCGGAAGAAAUACGGUGGUGGUGGCGGCGGCCCUGCUUUUCCUCCUCGUCGGAAUCCCCACCGUAUUU